AACGAACGCUGGCGGCAGGCCUAACACAUGCAAGUCGAACGCUUCGCAAGGGGAGUGGCGCACGGGUGAGUAACGCGUGGGAAUAUGCCAUUCGGUUCGGAAUAACACAGGGAAACUUGUGCUAAUACCGGAUAGGAUCUACGGAUUAAAGAUUUAUCGCCGCGGGAGUAGCCCGCGUAGGAUUAGCUAGUUGGUGAGGUAAUGGCUCACCAAGGCGACGUACCUUAUCUGGUCUGGGAGGAUGAUCAGCCACACUUGGACUGAGACACGGCCCAGACUUCUACGGGCGGCAGCAGUGGGGAAUAUUGAACAAUGGGCUAAAUCCUGAUCCAGCCAUUCCGCGUGAGUGAUUAAGGCCUUAGGGUUGUAAAACUCUUUCGCCAGGGAAGAUAAUGACGGUACCUGGAAAAGAAGCCUCGGCUAACUCCGUGCCAGCAGCCGCGGUAAAAC
rnacentral:rRNA from 1 species